ensembl:lncRNA
AAACAGAAGAUGGGGCUGGAUGAUGGGCAUUGAAAAAGAGGAAUGUUGUCAGUUGCAGUUGCCAUUGAGACCUCAAGAUCCAUAAAGCUGGAAAUACUUGCUAUCUGGCCCUUUCCAGAAGAAGUUUGCUGAGUUCUGCUCUAAUGCAAGAGAAGUCCAGUGACCAUGCCUAUGGCGCAUGCUAUGAGGACUUCACGUGAACCAAGCACAGGAGUCACAAAGUACGAAGAAAAGGAUGACCAGCAUGCCAUGCCCAAAAUAGUCUAGUCCGCCUUCACCGUGGCCCCACACUCACCACGCC